GUAACGAAAUAACAACGAUUCUUAUUUCCAGGUGAUUUUUACACUAAAGAAAACAUACUUAUUAAUAUUAUAUUCAAUUUCUGCCAAUAGAUCCCCCUAAAUGCUACACACUGUUCCUUUAAGUAACUUUAAAUCCCAAUAUGUGCUUUAGCUCCUCUAACUGGAAUCAGUCACUGUCAUGCAAUAAAACAACUACAGUUGGUUUUACUUUGAUGCCACGUUAAAGGAUUCAUCUUUUAGAUUUGCUUCCACCUUUGUGGAAGUUAAUUUACUCUUUCUAAGCUACAUUUGUUCUAAUCAAACAAAGUAAAUAUGCACAUAUAUAAAUCACAGUAAGGAUAUUUUAAAGUCUUAACCUGAAAUGAGAUUUUUUUCUUCUGUAAAUGUUUUCUUCUUGUUAAAAUGCUACUUUGUGUUUGUAUUUGCACUUGAUUUAUAUAAACUUCCUGUCUUCAAGUAUUAUCUUUUGUCAUGAUCUGUGUGAUUAGUAUGUUUGUGAGGGAGCGCAGCGCGGUGAAUCGACAAGAAGCCACAUGCAGGAUCAGUGGAGGAUGCUGGGUGUACGUUGUGGCACACAACCCGGACAAAUAAAAACGAAACCCAGUUUUAUCAGAUUAUCAGCAUCACAUUUUGGUUCUGCAUAAAAAUGUUCACUGUAAUGUUGAGAGUUUUACAAAAAUGUUCCCUGAUAGCUGUUUGCUCAGACUAUAUUUCAACAAUUGAAUAAUAAUCCAUAGUGAGUUCAGCCUUAGUACCAAUUUUGUAAAGAUGUUUUCUGCAUUUUUAAAUUCAUGGAUGUCUUGUUUGUAUCUUCCGUCAUAACUUUUGAACAAGAUGUCUGAAACAAACACUGACAUUUAAAUAUUAUAUAUAUAUUUUUAUAUUUUGGGAAAAGAACAUUUUUAAUCUGAUCUCUAGCACACUUUAGUUUAAUUGCAAGUGCCAGAUGUCUAUGCAAAUAUCUCAAAUGAGGUAAUUUAAGUCAUUUCAGUCACAGUCCAUAAUGAGCAGAAUCCAACUUUUGUCAGUCAUUUUGAACAUUAUUUAAAACCUUUCUUUUUCAGUAAUGAGGCUGUAAUUUGUAAUUCAGUGUGCUGCUCAACUGAAACUGAUGCAAUGUGACAACUGUGACCACGCUGCAUGAUUUAUCACUCGACGUGCAAUUUUAUAACCAACAAUAAAACGUGUAAUUUGCAGUGUUAGCUGAGAAAAUAGGAGGCUUCUUUCUUCCAACAGAAAACAGGUAAUCAAACAAUGAUGAUCAAACCAGUCGUUGUUUUUCUGUUCAGCUCUCCAACACCUCUCUGCAGCAGCAGCAGCCUCCUUCCCCCACCUCGCAGCACUCUGGAGAGACUCUUUGUUUUUCAUGGUGGAUUCCUGCUCUCACCCUGAACUCUCCUCUCUGCUGACUCAGGCGACAGGAGAUGCAGCGUUUAGGGAGACGGGCGCCAUUUUCCCCUUAAUUGUUUUCCUAACAGACAAAUGAGAGGUGCAGCUCUCGUUAAUCGUGCUGACCUUUUACCUAACCGAGAUGUGAUUGGCCUUAAGCACACCUGCUUGACAAAAAGACGCUUACAGUGCUUUGAGUGAGCUACUGUACUGGUUAAAAUACGCCUUUUGAUGGUGUUUAUUUGGACAAUAAGGAAUCUCUUUGCAUGUAUUUGCACCUGCAGUGAGUAUAGGAUAUCCUGGAAACUCAAAACAAGGCCCCUUUUAGCAACUGCAGCUGUUUGUAAAAAGGUGAGACUGCUGCAGUGUGUUUUACCUUCCCGCCUCCCCCCCCUGUUCCUCGCUUGUCUCUCUGUUUCUUAGCUUACAAAACAUCAUCAGGGUCAGACGGCAGGGCUCAUCUCUAAAGCCUCGGGGUCAUUAGGACGAGAUUCCUUCCGUUUCUUUUGACAGGUGAAUACUGAGGUGGUUUGGUGAAAGAGCCGCCGCACAAUAGUGACUACUUUCCCCCUUUUUCUUUUUCACAGGUUUCACCGUCUGGAUGGGAAUUAUUUCUGUGUUCCCUUUCUGCUGGAAUUCAGAGGAAAUACCGGCCAACAGACAGACUCAGGCUGUUAGCUAGCUGCUUCCUCUCGGCUCCGACCACAUAGUGGUUCUUCUCGAAGGCUCUCUCCAGACGGAGCAGCUGAGACGGAGAGAAGGCCGUCCGGAUGCGUUUAGGUUUCCUGGCGAAGGGGCCGUGGAGGAGCAGGCUGUCCUGGGACACGUCGUUACCUGAGACACCGGAGAGGAAGAAAGAGACAACAAGAAGCGGUUCCGUAGGACCCAGGGGUAGAAGUUGAGCGGGUCUCGAUGUUGCGUGCCGAAGAAGUGCGGAUGCUGCAGGUGGUGAGAUCCUCCGAGCUGGUGAGGAGCCACGGUGAGAGAGGGGUGGUUCUCUGGGA